rnacentral:tRNA from 1 species
GGGAAGAUAUACCGUAAUUGGUAGCGGGCCAGACUGUAAAUCUGGUACCUUCGGGUUCUGCUGGUUCAAAUCCAGUUCUUCCCA